rnacentral:pre_miRNA from 1 species
AAAAAAACAAACCAUGUUUUCCGUGUCACGUUUGACCGUUCGUCUUAUUUAAAAAAAUUAUGAAAAAAAUUAAAAAAACAAGUCAUGCAUAAAAUAUUAAUUAUGGUUUAUCAUCUAACAAUAAUGAAAAUACGAAUUAUAAAAAAAUUUCAUAUAAAACGGACAGUUAAAGUUGGACACGGAAACCCAGGGUUUGUCUUUUU